rnacentral:misc_RNA from 1 species
GAUGAAGAACGUAGCGAAAUGCGAUACGUAAUGUGAAUUGCAGAAUUCAGUGAAUCAUCGAGUCUUUGAACGCACAUUGCGCCCCCUGGUAUUCCGGGGGGCAUGCCUGUCCGAGCGUCAUUGCUGCCCUCAAGCACGGCUUGUGUGUUGGGCCUCCGUCCUCCUCCCGGGGGACGGGCCCGAAAGGCAGCGGCGGCACCGCGUCCGGUCCUCGAGCGUAUGGGGCUUCGUCACCCGCUCUUGUAGGCCCGGCCGGCGCUUGCCGACACAUCAAUCUUUUUUCCAGGUUGACCUCGGAUCAGGUAGGGAUACCCGCUGAACUUAAGCAUAUCAAUAAGCAGA